GCUCCCUGUUUGCACGGUUAGACUCUCACUGUGGAGCCAAGUGUUCCUGCGGUGCUUAGGCAAGCAUCCACUUUUUUUGGCUACCUCAUCUGGGGAUGCCUGGCUCUCACCUAUGAUUCCUGGAGCACACACCCUACCUCAGUGAGGGGCCUUCAUGGGUUAGGUGUUCACCCCAACAGUGUCUCAUUCCCCUGACUUAGACAACAACAGCUAUUUGUAGGUCUUGGAAAACAGGAUUGGUGGUGCUGGAAGACUCAGGCGGGAGGGCAGGAUUUCUGUUGGCCGCCCUGUACCUCUGGAGCUGGGCAACCCAGGUAUCUGUUGGUUCUUCGCUGACUUUUCCAAGGCUUUCCCUUCUCUCUGCCACAUGCUUAGCUCCUAUUUAGCUAGGGGCCACAGGCAAAGCAAUAUGUGCCUUUGGCCUCAGUUUCCUCAUCUGUAAAAUGGGAGGCAGUUCAUUCAUCUCUCAGACUCCAGCUAGGACAUCCUUCCUUUGUUGAAGCCGAGAAGGCUUACAGUUAAGAAUUUCUUUGUAAAGGCUCUUGGGAUUAUCUCUGAUAUUUUCAUUUUCUUAAAUUUGAGGAUUUCUGAAGACUUUGAAAUAAAAUCUUGGGGAAUGUCGAGUUUACUGAACACCAAAUUAUUGAUAGUAUAUUGGGGCUGAUGAAUGGUCUUAAGUGACCUCUUUGUGUUUUUGUACAACCUCUGUACACUGAGAAAUUAAUGUCACCUUUAAGGACUGUGGUGAGAGGGAGGGGGUCCGUGUCAUUUGUGCACCUGUUUCCCAAAGAUAUUGAUGGGUGAGCAAUGGUUUUGUGCAAGGAGGCAGAGGUUCCAUUCUGUGGCCUCGGAAGGUCUUAGCAGCACAGAUUCUGUGUUCAGUGCACACAGCUCACCGAUGCCUGACUCCUGGAGUGUGAUACCAGGAACCAGAGCAGGAGAAAGGACAGGAGAGGGAACGGGGAAGGGGGCAUGAAGGAGGAGACAGAAAGGAGAGUAAAAGAGAAAACCACACUGUCGUGAAAAGUUAAAAACCUUCCUUUCAACUUUCCCUUAUAAUUAGCUGCUGCAGCUGGAGGGAAAGGACUCUUGUUUAUCCAAUCAGCCACAGAAGUGUCCUCAUCCUCACUCCUCGGCAUUGUCAGUCAGAUGGAGACAUUGUGUAGUGGAGAAGGAAAGACCAGACUAUGAUUGCCUUUCUGAGACCUGGUAGGACUAUGCAAGUGCCUGUGGAGGUGAAGUCUGUCUUGUACCAGCAGUAGUCCCCUUGUUUUAACCUAUCAGAGAGCCCAAUAAUCACAGGAUUCUUCAGAGAUUCUUCAGGAUUCUUCAUGUCCUUGAUGCCAUGCACAGACCUGCCUGUGACCAUAAACUCAAUAAGAGCUGAGACUGUGCCUUAUUUAUCUAGCACCUACACUGCCUUACGCAAGUCAACACUUAAUAAAUGUUUUUGAAAUGAAAUUGGUCAUCAUAAUAAUAGUGAACAUUUAUUUUAUUUUAUUUUAUUUUUUUUGGUACUGGGGAUCGAACUAGGGACCUUACGCUUGCGAGGCAGGUGCCAGAACCACUGAGCUAAAUCUCCAGCCCCUUGAACAUUUAUUAAUUGCUCUCUGUAUGCCUGUCAUAUAGAACACACCCCAUGCCUUUAGCUGUCCCCAUGACCAUCUCAUUUGACAGAUGGGGAAACUGAGGCCUGAGGAGGUGAAACUGAUUUUCUUAGUGAUACAAACAGCAAGUGAUAGAGUUUUGAAGAGAAGAACAACUUCUGCCUUCACAUCCUGGGCCUUGUCUUUUAUACAGGUUGUUGGUAGCAAGCCCCUUACCAGAGCCUCUUUCUUUUCCUUCCUUUCAGCCUCCCCAAGGUUCCCAGUGGUGCUACUUUCCCCCCUGCCCCUUUCCCUGUCCUUUUUCUGAAGGGAGGAAAAAGUUUGCAGAACUUUUAUGUUGGAGCAGGGCCACCUGGGUCAUCAGAAAGAAGGGAAUGGAAUUAAUAGGAGAAAAUGAAGACAUGGAAACAAAGUCUUUGUAAAUAGGGAGGGGUGGAGGGGUUGAAGGGAAGGCAGGGGAAGG
ensembl:lncRNA